rnacentral:misc_RNA from 1 species
GAUGAAGAACGUAGCGAAAUGCGAUAAGUAGUGUGAAUUGCAGAAUUCAGUGAAUCAUCGAAUCUUUGAACGCACAUUGCGGCCAUAGGUAUUCCUUUGGCCAUGCCUGUUCGAGCGUCAUUUACACCCUCAAGCCUAGCUUGGUGUUGGGCGUCUGUCCCGCCGUUCUCGCGCGCGGACUCGCCUCAAAGUUAUUGGCGGCGGUCGUGCCGGCCCCCUCGCGCAGCACAUUUGCGCUUCUCGGAGGCCCGGCGGAUCCGCGCUCCAGCAAGACCUUUCACGACUUGACCUCGGAUCAGGUAGGGAUACCCGCUGAACUUAAGCAUAUCAAUAAGCGGAGGA